GACGAACGCUGGCGGCGUGCUUAACACAUGCAAGUCGAACGAAGAGCGAUGGAAGCUUGCUUCUAUCAAUCUUAGUGGCGAACGGGUGAGUAACGCGCAAUCAACCUGCCCUUCAGAGGGGGACAACAGUUGGAAACGACUGCUAAUACCGCAUACGAUCUGACCUCGGCAUCGAGGAUGGAUGAAGGGUGGCCUCUAUUUAUAAGCUAUCACUGAAGGAGGGGAUUGCGUCUGAUUAGCUAGUUGGAGGGGUAACGGCCCACCAAGGCGAUGAUCAGUAGCCGGUCUGAGAGGAUGAACGGCCACAUUGGGACUGAGACACGGCCCAGACUCCUACGGGAGGCAGCAGUGGGGAAUCUUCCGCAAUGGACGAAAGUCUGACGGAGCAACGCCGCGUGAGUGAUGACGGCCUUCGGGUUGUAAAGCUCUGUUAAUCGGGACGAAAGGCCUUCUUGCGAAUAGUUAGAAGGAUGACGGUACC
rnacentral:rRNA from 1 species